rnacentral:rRNA from 1 species
AGAGUUUGAUCCUGGCUCAGAACGAACGCUGGCGGCAGGCCUAACACAUGCAAGUCGAACGAGAAGCCACCUUCGGGUGGUGGACAGUGGCAGACGGGUGAGUAACGCGUGGGAACGUGCCUUUCGGUUCGGGAUAACCCAGGGAAACUUGGGCUAAUACCGGAUACGCCCUUCGGGGGAAAGAUUCAUUGCCGAAAGAUCGGCCCGCGUCGGAUUAGCUAGUUGGUAGGGUAAAAGCCUACCAAGGCGACGAUCCGUAGCUGGUCUGAGAGGAUGACCAGCCACACUGGGACUGAGACACGGCCCAGACUCCUACGGGAGGCAGCAGUGGGGAAUAUUGGACAAUGGGCGCAAGCCUGAUCCAGCCAUGCCGCGUGGGUGAAGAAGGCCUUAGGGUUGUAAACCCCUUUCAGCGGGGAAGAUAAUGACGGACCCGCAGAAG